GGCGCACAGAAAGGGUGAAAAACUGCCUCAGUCCAAAGUUUGCCAAAAAGUUUUCAAUUGAUUAUUAUUUUGAGGUCGUACAAAAAAUGAAGUUUGGCAUUUAUGAUAUCGACAAUAAGACCAUCGACCUCGGAGAUGAUGACUUUCUUGGAGAAUUUGAGUGCACGUUGGGCCAGAUUGUGUCAAGCAAGAAAAUAACAAGACCA